UACUGGCAGGAUCAACCAGGUGACAGUGAAGAACAAGUAUCCUUUUCCCAGAUCGACAAGCUCUUCUACUAGCUUUAGGGUGCUCAGUACUUUUUGAAGGUGGACCUGAGGUAAGGAUAUCACCAGCUGCGAGUCAAAGACUAGAAUGUGCAGAAGACAGUGCUCCAUACCCGCUAUGGACACUACAAAUUCCUUGUGAUGCCGUUCGGGUUGACGAAUGCGCCAACAAUGUUCAUGGCCUUGAUGAACAAGAUCUUUGCUCAGCACCUCGACAGCUUCACAGUUGUGUUCAUCGACAAUGUGUUAGUCUACUUGAAGUCCAGAGAGGAGCAUGAGCAGCAAUUAAGGACGUCUCUAUAGUUGUUGCGCGAUAACCAGUUGUAUGCGAAGCUCAGCA
rnacentral:misc_RNA from 1 species